CCCGAGCGGCGUCUCAGAUGCCGGCCACGGCAAGCGGCGGCGCGCGGCCGGAGGAGGCGGCAGCGGCGGCGGCCCGCGGCCUCCUGGAUAGGGACGAGGCCGGAGGAGCUGACGGCGAGGCUGGCAGCCUCGGGGACCGCAGCCCGGAGCGCGGGUCGGGGCGGUUUCGGCACCGGCGCCGGCGCUCCCCCCGACCCUCCCAGAUGCCGGCCACGGCGAGCGGCGGCGCGCGCCGGAGGAGGCGGCAGCGGCUGAACGGAGGAGACGCGGCGCUUCCGUCCCGAGUAGAGGGCCGGCUGUCAGCGCGAGGCCGAUGGCCCACCAUGCCGCCGUGCGCCACUCGCCGCGGCCGGAACUCCGUGUCUGCGCUUCGCCUCGACGUGCAGCGCCAUGGAGGCUCCCCUCGCACUCCUCGCGUGGGCGCUGGUCCGCUCGCCGCCCCUGCCGCAGCGUCGGAGAUGGUCAUGGCCGGUUCUCCACAACUCGCCCAUCCCCAACCGCCCGUCGCCUCAGCAGCCACCUGAACCGGACUCUGCAUUGCCGGAAGGCCAGAGCAGCCUUCAGCACCUGCAGAGAAGCUGGGCUUGGUGGGGCUUCACAAACAGGGUGUGCGGGGAGCAGCUCGCCGGCGACUGGCCCACCUAUCUCUUCACUGUUGACGGUGAGGCCAUCAACAGCUAGACCCGCGCCGCGGCGACUCCUUUGAGAUGACCGGCAAGGCACAUCUAACACAAGAUGAAGUGGAGGAUUUCAGUUUUUUGGUUGCAAGGGGCAUCCACCAUGACUCUGUGCACCUGAUCAAUGGCCCCACCAUGACUCUGUGCACCUGAUCAAUGGCUCCACCAUAAAUCUUUGAAUUAAAUCUACUGCAUACAUGGCAUUUCAAAAAAUUGCAGGAAUUACAGCACCAGACUAAUAAUCAAUGAACAGAAGGGCAUGCUGUGCUGCUAAUCAAGUUGCCUGGUGCUUCUGCAGCUUCCUGCACGGUAGAUGUGGUGGCCAGCUUUCUUCUCAUUAGUCAUGCCUGUGUCAAUGGCUCGGUCAUCCAGAUUUUAAUCUCAGCUGCUAGCCUCCAUGGUACAUCUCCCGCAGGCGUUCUACCCUGAAUCAGGCAUAGUUCGUGUUGUUAGGCUCCCCUUUCCCCUUUUCAUAGGCUUCAUGCCAAACUCUCUGUAUUUCUGUUUUAAGCAAUGGAAAUGGGGCUUGCCUCAUGUCGAAAAAAAUAUUCAUAGUAAGCUGUGCUUUUGUGGCUCCGAUGAACUUCUAUGUAGUUGUGUAUGCAUCAAAAAAAGAUUCAGUACAUGUUUUGGUGCUUAAGGGCUACUAUGAUAAUUGAAUUGUUGGUUCUCCAAGCCUACAUAUAUCCUUUGGUAUCUUGCAUCAUGAAGCUAAUAUUUCGUUCAUCAUUUCUUUAAAAUCCAAAAGGUAAUCGUUUAGUAUCUUCUUAUUCACAUUAUUUACUUAUGUUUGAAUUAUUUAUUUAAUCUUAGCCCUGUAUAUCACGCCAUCUACAUCUUGGUUUUGAUGUUUUAUUUUUGAUACCCCGUGAGAUGUCGUUGAAAGUGGUGACAAGAAGCAGGAGACCAAGAAUUAGAUGGGUGUCAGAAUUGUUCUUGAAUGAAUCUACGGAUUGGAAUCGCAACCUAAUUAGCAGCAUUUUCUUGCCGGUGGAUGUGGAAGCUAUCAUGAGGAUCAGAGUCCCAGAAAGAAUCAUGAAUGACCAGAUUGCUUGGCAUUAUGAAAAGUCAGGUCAGUUUUCUGUCAAAUCAGCAUAUAAGUUGGCACUAAAACUGCAGAGUCAGGAUCAAAUGGCCUCAAGUAGUAAUCCUAAGCAAAGAGAGAAGCUCUGCAAAGGCAUGCCAAGAAUUUCCAGAAGAACUGGCUGCAAAGUGUUUAAGGGUUACAAGAAAUGAGGUGGGAUAAGAAUUUUUUUGUCUUGCAAGCUUGAUAAUCUACUUUAUUAGUAUUUUUGGAAGCUAUGCUCAGUCCCCUUCGUGACUUUUGCUUACAAAGCUGUUCCUAAACUACUCGAAGACUUUUUUAGAGAAUAUUGGGAACUAUCAGUACAAACUUUGCUUUGUCAAAAAGAUCUAUAAGAGAUUAACUUCAGUAUUGCAUCGAGUUUUAUUUGACAAAGCUCUAGGCGAAAUUGAUUUCAAUGUGGUAGCAAAUUCUCGAGGUCAAAGAGCAUUAUUAGAAGAUAUUGAUAUGAAUCUGGAACUAUAAGAAGUGGAUGCUGAAUUUCCUAUCGGCAGAGAAGGAUGAGCUUCGCGAUGAGAAGCAGAAGCUGGAACUAGAGAAGGAGAGUUUAGAGCACCAGAUGAAGCUUAUGACCUCAACUCCAGCCUACAUGCCUCAUCCAACCCUGAUGCCAGCGCCCUUCCCACAGGCUCCGCUAACACCGUUCCAUCUCCAGGCGCAAGAUGCAAGGCAGAAACCGCUCCUGCUCGCCAUGAGCUUGAUGAAUUAGCUGUGAGGCGAGUAUACCUCUGUUGUGUCGCCUUGUGCUCGCCACACACUCGCUUGCAACUUGGGAUGGUCUUCUCAACCAUCGUCUGACUUGAGGCAUCACUUUAGGGGAUAUUCAUCAACAUCAGAGGAUGCAUUUUUGGCCUCUGAAGUAGGACAGGGUUGCAGCAGUAUGUGCAAGUGCAGUGUUAUCGGUUUUGAUAAGAGAUGAUUCCAGCUAGAGUGCCAUAAUUAGUUUUUUAUUUAAAGGAUGUGUACAGAAGGCACCGAUGCUGUGGGGCAUGUUGCUCGUCUAAAUUAUGUUACCUCGUCAUUCAUCUCUCCUGAAACUGUCAAACAUGCUGCCAUGUGUGGCUUGUCAACACGGCUACUAAGUCCAAACUAUUUGCAGAUAAGGAGCGUGAAAUUCAGAGAUUAGCUGCUACCAUCAUAAUUCAUCAGGUUUGUUGCAGUACCAAAUUUAUUGUUACUCGAAAUUCUGAACAGGGGAUUAUUUUACUUGGGGAUACAACAGAUAGUAACAUCUCAUUUCUCCAUGUCGUCAGUGUUGUUCCUCACUUAAUAUCCAUGACUUGAUGCAAGAUGAGGCCAUGUGCCUCCUCCAAUCUGGUGAUGUGCUAGCGUAAAAAAAAAAUGGUACACGACAAUAGUAGAAAUAAAACAGGACCAACCUCUUAUUAUCAUUUCACCUUGAGUCCUUGUUUAUUAUGCAGUUUAACUUCUGUAUUUUGCCAGCUUGGCUUAGCUGAUGCAUUGGUUUGAUGAAGUGACACUGUCAUAGUCAGCACAGGGGAUACAAAUCAAGGUAAAUAGGGUUUUCCUUCAUUGCGACUUGUUGACAGAGGGCGCAAAGGACAAACCAAUGUGCCCAAACAUCCUGAGAAGCAUGGUCAAAGCACAACUGUGACAGAGGGCUUAGAUGAUAUCUUGGUGAAGCAUGUAUCUAGGCUUGAAAGGGAAAAGAUUGAUUAUGAAAAGAGGAAUCCAUUGACCAACCUGCCACAUGAUCAGCGAAAGAAUGGUAACAAUGCUCAAGCAUUUGAAAGUUUAGAUCAAGUCUUAUUGAAGCAUGUAAGUCGACUAGAAAGGCAAAAGAUGGACUAUGAGAAGAGGAAUGCAUUGGGAGGAGGAACCAACAUGCAGAGUGACAUGCAAAGGCCCUGUAACAGUGCCAUUGCUGCGGGCAGUUUAGAUCAAGUCUUAGUCAAGCGCAUCUCCAGGCUUGAAAAGGAGAAGAUUGAGCAUGAAAAGAUGGGGUAUGAUCUUGCUAAAGAGUCAUGCACAAUGUACUGAUGGGGCAGCAGGAAGUUUGACUGACAUCUUUGUCAAAGCUUCCAACGAAACUUGAGCAGGCCAAGCUAGCAUCUGCUGCCGAAGAAACACCAGCCAGUGGGUUAAACCCUGUCGGAGAGCAUAGAAGAGCAAGAGAGAAGGAACUUCUGGAUGCGUGGGGGAGGAAUGGGCCUUGGGAACUCUGAAGCCUCGUGUCCAUUAUUGAGAGAGCUAAGGCUGCUUGGAGGAUAACUGAUAAUGAACAGAAGCAGAUGGUUGCUGCAAGGGAGCUAUGACUUGGCUGAAUUGGAUGGUGCUCCAGCUCGGAGGAAAAAUGCAAGCUCUGAACUCCUUUCUUCUGCUGAACAGAACUAGCGAUUGUUUGUUAGGAUCAGAUUAUCCAGUGGAUCUUGACCUGCCGUAAAGCUUGACAUUGUCAACAGGUUACUAGAUCAUAUCCACGAUAGAUUUGCUAGACUCUACUACUAUUUGACAACCACUUGUUGAUGUGUUUAAUAAAAAUGCUGAUAGCAUAUAGUUGAUUCUUUUUUGGUAUACAUGCAUUUUAUCUGGA